rnacentral:rRNA from 1 species
AUUGAACGCUGGCGGCAGGCCUCACACAUGCAAGUCGAACGAGUGGCGGACGGUUGCGUAAUGUCUGGGAAACUGCCUGAUGGAGGGGGAUAACUACUGGAAACGGUAGCUAAUACCGCAUACCAUCGGAUGUUCCCAGAUGGGAUUAGCUAGUAGGUGGGGUAAAGGCUCACCUAGGCGACGAUCCCUAGCUGGUCUGAGAGGAUGACCAGCAACACGGGAACUGAGACACGGUCCAGACUACUACGGUAGGCAGCAGUGGGGAAUAUUGCACAAUGGGCGCAAGCCUGAGGCAGCCAUGCCGCGUGUAUGAAGAAGGCCUUCGGGUUGUAAAGUACUUUCAGCGGGGAGGCGUUACCCGCAGAAGAAGCACCGGCUAACUCCGUGCCAGCAGCCGCGGUAAUUC